rnacentral:lncRNA from 1 species
UUGGAAAGGGUAUUUGCAAGAAAUGUCUUGCAAGUGUCAAGAACACACCUUUCGAAGGUGUUGUAAAAUGUUCUUGAAAAGUUCAAAACAGUUGGUUCUUCUACUUGAAUGCAUGAUUCCGUAUUAGUAACAAAGCUUUACAAUCGUUGUAAAAGUGUGACUAAUAAGAAGUAGAAGAUAUAUGAGAGAAGAGAAAGUACUUCACAUUCGAAGCGUGAAUCAAAUGGAGAUCUCUGCGAAAGCAGAUGGUACUUACUUCCUCAUAUGAACUACCAAAGAAAUUGGAAAAACAUAGAUUGUCUUUGUAUUCCAAUUUUAAGGAACUAAAUUCCGUCACUAUGUGAAAUGGAUAAAUGUUUUGUUUGACAAAACAAUGUUCUUUAUUAAUCAAUGAUUGGAUUAUGGUAAUCUAAUUAAUUAUCUCUAUAGUAGAGAUAAUAUGGUAGUGUUAACUGUUUAGAAAAUAAUGAUGCUUAAAACCCAAAAAGUUGCAAGGUAGUGACGAAUCCCAACUAAAGUUGUGAUACCUCUAAAACAUAAAUUACGAGUUGGCAUAAAUGGACGCUUUGGAUCAUUAGGUCCGGAUCCAAUACCUUCUUGUUAAAAUUGUAUGGAGACGAAAUGUUCGAAUCUUUAUUCUUUUGGAAAGAAGAAAGAAUCACAAAGUUGUUGAGGUUAAUUCACUUAAAU